rnacentral:rRNA from 1 species
UACGCGGGGAGCAAGCGUUGUUCGGAUUUACUGGGCGUAAAGGGCGCGUAGGCGGCCACCGCAAGUCGACUGUGAAAUCUCCGGGCUUAACCCGGAAAGGUCAGCCGAUACUGCGGGGCUAGAGUGCAGAAGGGGCAACUGGAAUUCUCGGUGUAGCGGUGAAAUGCGUAGAUAUCGAGAGGAACACCUGCGGCGAAGGCGGGUUGCUGGGCUGACACUGACGCUGAGGCGCGAAAGCUAGGGGAGCGAACGGG